rnacentral:rRNA from 1 species
CGCGGCCUAUCAGCUUGUUGGUGGGGUAAUGGCCUACCAAGGCGACGACGGGUAGCCGGCCUGAGAGGGCGACCGGCCACACUGGGACUGAGACACGGCCCAGACUCCUACGGGAGGCAGCAGUGGGGAAUAUUGCACAAUGGGCGGAAGCCUGAUGCAGCGACGCCGCGUGAGGGAUGACGGCCUUCGGGUUGUAAACCUCUUUCACCCAUGACGAAGCGCAAGUGACGGUAGUGGGAGAAGAAGCGCCGGCCAACUACGUGCCAGCAGCCGCGGUAAGACGUAGGGCGCGAGCGUUGUCCGGAAUUAUUGGGCGUAAAGAGCUCGUAGGCGGCUUGUCGCGUCGGCUGUGAAAUCCCGUGGCUCAACUGCGGGUCUGCAGCCGAUACGGGCAGGCUAGAGUUCGGUAGGGGAGACUGGAAUUCCUGGUGUAGCGGUGAAAUGCGCAGAUAUCAGGAGGAACACCGAUGGCGAAGGCAGGUCUCUGGGCCGAUACUGACGCUGAGGAGCGAAAGCGUGGGGAGCGAACAGGAUUAGAUACCCUGGUAGUCCACGCUGUAAACGUUGGGCGCUAGGUGUGGGGGACCUCUCCGGUUCUCUGUGCCGCAGCUAACGCAUUAAGCGCCCCGCCUGGGGAGUACGGC